rnacentral:rRNA from 1 species
UGAAUACGAGAUGCUACGGCGUCGAAGCAGUCUAUGUCAUACUUCCAAGAAAAGCUCGCACUGUCAUAAACAAAUAAUGCCUGUACCAUAACCGACACAGGUGGGUAGGUAGAGUAUACUAAGGGGCGCGAGAUAACUCUCUCUAAGGAACUCGGCAAAAUGACUCCGUAACUUCGGGAGAAGGAGUGCCUUAUUUAUAAGGUUGCAAUAACAAGAUCCAAGCAACUGUUUAUCAAAAACACAGGUCUCCGCUAAGUCGUAAGACGAUGUAUGGGGGCUGACGCCUGCCCAGUGCCAGAAGGUUAAAGAAGUUGGUUAGCAUUCGCGAAGCUGAUAACUGAAGCCCUGGUGAACGGCGGCCGUAACGAUAACGGUCCUAAGGUAGCGAAAUUCCUUGUCGGGUAAGUUCCGACCCGCACGAAAGGCGUAAUGAUUUGGAUACUGUCUCGGAGAGGGGCUCGGUGAAAUAGACUUGUCUGUGAAGAUGCGGACUACCUGCACCAGGACAGAAAGACCCUAUGAAGCUUUACUGUAACUUGAGAUUGAAAUUGGACUUUACUUGCGCAGUAUAGGUGGGAGGCGUUGAUAAUAUUCUUGCGGGAUUAUUUGAGCCAUCAGUGAGAUACCACUCUUGUAAUGUUAGAUUUCUAACUUUGUAUCAUUAUCUGGUCAAAGGACAGUUUCAGGCGGGCAGUUUGACUGGGGCGGUCGCCUCCUAAACGGUAACGGAGGCGCACAAAGGUUUCCUCUGAACGGGUAGAAAUCGUAUCUAGAGUGUAAAGGCAUAAGGAAGCUUGACUGUGAGACCUACAAGUCGAGCAGGGACGAAAGUCGGUCUUAGUGGUCUGACGGUGCUGAGUGGAAAGGCCGUCACUCAACGGAUAAAAGUUACUCUAAGGAUAACAGGCUGAUCUCCCCCAAGAGUUCACAUCGACGGAGAGGUUUGGCACCUCGAUGUCGGCUCAUCGCAUCCUGGGGCGGUAGUACGUCCCAAGGGUUGGGCUGUUCGCCCAUGAAAGCGGUACGCGAGCUGGGUUCAGAACGUCGUGAGACAGUUCGGUCCAUAUCCGGUGUAGGCGUUAGAAUAUUGAGAGGAGCCUUCUUUAGUACGAGAGGACCGAGAAGGACAUACCUCUGGUGUACCAGUUAUCGUGCCAACGGUAAACGCUGGGUAGCUAUGUAUGGAGUGGAUAACCGCUGAAAGCAUCUAAGUGGGAAGCCCACCUCAAGAUAAGUAUUCUC